GUAGCUCAGUGGUAGAGCAGCCGCCUUGUAAGCGGCAGGUCAGGGGUUCAACUCCCCUC
rnacentral:tRNA from 1 species